UUUCCGUAGGUGAACCUGCGGAAGGAUCAUUACCGAGUGCGGGUCCUUUGGGCCCAACCUCCCAUCCGUGUCUAUUAUACCCUGUUGCUUCGGCGGGCCCGCCGCUUGUCGGCCGCCGGGGGGGCGCCUUUGCCCCCCGGGCCCGUGCCCGCCGGAACCCCAACACGAACACUGUCUGAAAGCGUGCAGUCUGAGUUGAUUGAAUGCAAUCAGUUAAAACUUUCAACAAUGGAUCUCUUGGUUCCGGCAUCGAUGAAGAACGCAGCGAAAUGCGAUAACUAAUGUGAAUUGCAGAAUUCAGUGAAUCAUCGAGUCUUUGAACGCACUUGCGCCCCCUGGUAUUCCGGGGGGCAUGCCUGUCCGAGCGUCAUUGCUGCCCUCAAGCCCGGCUUGUGUGUUGGGUCGCCGUCCCCCUCUCCGGGGGGACGGGCCCGAAAGGCAGCGGCGGCACCGCGUCCGAUCCUCGAGCGUAUGGGGCUUUGUCACAUGCUCUGUAGGAUUGGCCGGCGCCUGCCGACGUUUUCCAACCAUUUUUUCCAGGUUGACCUCGGAUCAGGUAGGGAUACCCGCUGAACUUAA
rnacentral:rRNA from 1 species